rnacentral:rRNA from 1 species
AUGCCGCGGUGAAUACGUUCCCGGGCCUUGUACACACCGCCCGUCACACCACGAGAGCUUGCAACACCCGAAGUCGGUGAGGUAACCUUACGGGAGCCAGCCGCCGAAGGUGGGGCAAGUGAUUGGGGUGAAGUCGUAACAAGGUAGCCGUACCGGAAGGUGCGCUGGAUCACCUCCUUUCU